GUGCCAGCCGCCGCGGUAAUACGGAGGGGGCAAGCGUUGUUCGGAAUUACUGGGCGUAAAGGGCGCGUAGGCGGAACGUCAAGUUAGGGGUGAAAGGCCUGGGCUCAACCUAGGAACGGCCUCUAAAACUGACGAUCUAGAGUCCGGAAGAGGAUGGCGGAAUUCCCAGUGUAGAGGUGAAAUUCGUAGAUAUUGGGAAGAACACCGGUGGCGAAGGCGGCCAUCUGGUCCGGUACUGACGCUGAGGCGCGAAAGCGUGGGGAGCAAACAGGAUUAGAAACCCUAG
rnacentral:rRNA from 1 species